rnacentral:lncRNA from 1 species
UCAAGAUUGUCAGCUCCUCCCUGUUUCUCCAGCUGAAAGACCCUCAACACGAACAACAUCAGCUCCUCCCAAAGUCCUCAACUCCAUGACCCUCAAACUACAACAUCAGCUCCUCCCCGAGUCUUCAGCUGCAUGACCCUCUAUCUAAAACAUCAGCUCCUCUCCAGGUCUGCAGCUGCAAGAACCUAAAAUUAGAACAUCAGCUCCUCUCUUAGUCUGCAGCUGGAAGAUCCACUAGCUAGAACAUCAACUCCUGUCCGGGUCUCCAGCUCCAUGACCCUAAAUCUAGAACAUCAGCUCCUCCCUGAGUCUCCAACUGAAAGACCCUCAACGCGAACAACAUCAGCUCCUCCCCAAGUCUUCAGCUGCACGACACUCAAAUUAGAACAUCAGCUCCUCUCCAGGUCGGCAGCUGGGAGACCCUCAAACUAGAACAUCAGCUCCUCCCCGGGUCUGCAGGUGCACGACCCUCAAACUAGAACAUCAGCUCCUCCCCGGGUCUGCAGGUGCACGACCCUCAAUCUAGAACAUCAGCUCCUCCCCGGGUCUGCAGGUGCACGACCCUCAAUCUAGAACAUCAGCUCCUCCCCGGGUCUGCAGGUGCACGACCCUCAAACUAGAACAUCAGCUCCUCCCCGGGUCUGCAGCUGCAUGACACUCAAUCUAGAACAUCAGCUCCUCCCCAGGUCUGCAGCUGCACGACACUCAAACUAGAACAUCAGCUCCUCCCCGGGUCUGCAGCUGCACGACACUCAAACUAG